rnacentral:rRNA from 1 species
GACGAACGCUGGCGGCGUGCUUAACACAUGCAAGUCGAACGGAAAGGCCCUGCUUUUGUGGGGUGCUCGAGUGGCGAACGGGUGAGUAACACGUGAGAAACCUGCCCUUGACUUUGGGAUAACUUCAGGAAACUGGGGCUAAUACCGGAUAGGAGCUCCUGCUGCAUGGUGGGGGUUGGAAAGUUUCGGCGGUUGGGGAUGGACUCGCGGCUUAUCAGCUUGUUGGUGGGGUAGUGGCUUACCAAGGCUUUGACGGGUAGCCGGCCUGAGAGGGUGACCGGCCACAUUGGGACUGAGAUACAGCCCAGACUCCUACGGGAGGCAGCAGUGGGGAAUAUUGCACAAUGGGCGGAAGCCUGAUGCAGCAACGCCGCGUGCGGGAUGACGGCCUUCGGGUUGUAAACCGCUUUCGCCUGUGACGAAGCGUGAGUGACGGUAAUGGGUAAAGAAGCACCGGCUAACUACGUG